AUGCCGCGGUGAAUACGUUCCCGGGCCUUGUACACACCGCCCGUCACACCACGAGAGUUUGUAACACCCGAAGUCGGUGAGGUAACCUUUUUGGAGCCAGCCGCCGAAGGUGGGACAGAUGAUUGGGGUGAAGUCGUAACAAGGUAGCCGUAUCGGAAGGUGCGGCUGGAUCACCUCCUUUCU
rnacentral:rRNA from 1 species